rnacentral:rRNA from 1 species
CUGAGGAGCCAGCGGGGUGAAGUUACCCUCUGCAGGAUUAUGACUGAACGCCUCUCAUUCAGAAUCC